CCUACGGGGGACAGCAGUGGGGAAUAUUGCACAAUGGGGGAAACCCUGAUGCAGCGACGCCGCGUGAGUGAAGAAGUAAUUCGUUAUGUAAAGCUCUAUCAGCAGGGAAGAAAAUGACGGUACCUGAGUAAGAAGCCCCGGCUAACUACGUGCCAGCAGCCGCGGUAAUACGUAGGGGGCAAGCGUUAUCCGGAUUUACUGGGUGGAAAGGGAGCGUAGACGGCAGUGCAAGUCUGGAGUGAAAGGCGGGGGCUCAACCCCCGGACUGCUCUUGAAACUGUACGGCUGGAGUGCAGGAGAGGUAAGUUGAAUUCCUAGUGUAGCGGUGAAAUGCGUAGAUAUUAGGAGGAACACCAGUGGCGAAGGCGGCUUACUGGACUGUAACUGACGUUGAGGCUCGAAAGCGUGGGGAGCAAACAGGAUUAGAUACCCCUGUAGUC
rnacentral:rRNA from 1 species